AUGGGGAACAACUACUUGGGUGGCUCCGAAGUGGAGAAUGAAGCAAAAGGUAAUUUUCCACCUCAAAAGAAGCCAGUGUGGGCGGAUGAAGAAAAUGAAGAUGAGGAAAUGGUUGACACAAUCAGUUUUGGAAAGAUAGGAUGAAAAAUGCUAGCGAAAGUGAACUUUCAAAAGACAACCUUAAAACGAGACUUAAAGACGUAUUCCAGCAUGCCAUGGGAGGAGUACCUGCCUGGGCAGACUCAUAAGCGGAAAAUGUCUUCAGCUGAUGAAAGUGAACAGGAUGAAGAUGAUUUGUCGCAAAGGACUGGGAAUUGCAUAUCCGCAUCAGCUUCUCUGCCAAGAGGAAUCUUGAAAAACUGCCAGCAUGUUCAUGCUGAACAUCCUACUGCUGCUCGGAUCUCACCCGCGCAGUUCCGUCCUUGUGCACAGAUUGUGGUGGUCGCUGGAUUACUACUUCAGGUUGAUGGAAAAACAAAUCCUAAAAUCCAGAGUAUCUAUUUGGAAAAAUCCACUAUGCACGGUUGGUUCCCCAUCUUUAAGGCUUGUUUUAGUGCUAAUGGGGAAGAAGUUUAAGCCACAAGUACCCAUAGCAAGGCUCUUUAUGUCUACGACAUGCUAGCUGGAAAGUUAAUUCUUGUGCACCAAGUGAGAGGUUUGAAAGAAGAUAGUGAGGAGCUUUGACUCCCCAGAUGGGUCCUUCUUUCUCUUAAAUGGCAUUGCUGGGCAUUUGCAUUUGCUAUCAAUGAAGACCAAAGAACUGAUUGGAAGCACGAAAAUUAAUGGAAGGGUUGCAGCAUCCACGUUCUCUUCAGAUAGUAAGAAAGUGUACGCCUCUUCAGGGGACGGAGAAGUUUAUGUUUGGGAUAUGAACUCAAGGAAGUGUCUUAACAGAUUUGCUGAUGAAGGCAGUUUAUACGGAUUAAGCAUUGCCACAUCUAGGAAAGGACAGAAUGUUGCUUGUAGUUCUAAUUGCGGAGUGGUAAAUAUAUACAAUCAAGAUUCUUGCCUCCAGGAAACAAACCCGGAGCCAGUAAAAGCUAUAAUGAAAUUGGUUACAGGUGUUACUUCUCUGACCUUUAAUCCUACUACAGAAAUCUUGGCAAUUGCUUCAGAAAAAAAUGAAAGAAGCAGUCAGAUUGAUUCAUCUUCCUUCCUGUACAGUAUUUUCAAACUUCCCAGUCAUUAAAAAGAAGAAUAAUUCUCACAUUCAUACCACGGAUUUUUCUCCCAAAAGUGGAUACUUUGCCUUGGGGAAUGAAAAAGACAAGGCCCUGAUGUAUAGAUUGCACCAUUACUCAGACUUCUAAAGAGACUGACGUCCAGUUGAGUCACAAGAGAAGCCUGUCUUGAUAUAUCAUCCCAGAGACUUUCCCGAACAUGCGAUAAUGUAUGGAAAAUGACUUAUAGAGCCCGCUGUGCUUAAGAGCCACUAGUAUCUUAAUAAACAUGUGGCAGCUUU